UAAAUAGUAAUGAUGAAGACGGAAAUAAGAAAAAGCCUCAGAGAGCCGGUGGUUGCUGCGAACCGGUGCUAAUUCUAAUUUAACCUAGCCCUUCUGAACUGGCAGCUGAACCUUUUAGUAGGCAUGCCCGGUGAUAAGCCGUUACAUUUUAGAGGCUGCUUUUAUUUUUCAAGCAGCAAAAGAGGGUGGCACCACGUUUAUUCACGUCCCUCAU
rnacentral:ncRNA from 1 species